rnacentral:misc_RNA from 1 species
AACGCACGAGACCUGCGGACCUGCGGAAGGAUCAUUAAUGAGAAGCUGCCCCUCGUGGGUAGACCUCCCACCCUCUGUGAACUUACCUUUGUUGCUUUGGCAGGCCCGUCCUCUGGACCGCCGGCUUCGGCUGGCCCAUGCCUGCCAGAGGAUUCCAAACCCUGUCUGUCAGUGUUGUCUGAGUCUAUAUGAAAUCGUUAAAACUUUCAGCAACGGAUCUCUAGAUCGGAAGAGCACACG